CCCGCUGAACUUAAGCAUAUCAAUAAGCGGAGGAAAAGAAACUAACAAGGAUUCCCCUAGUAACUGCGAGUGAAGCGGGAAGAGCUCAAAUUUUGAAUCUGGCGGUGUUUGGCCGUCCGAGUUGUAAUCUAGAGAAGCGUCUUCCGCGCUGGACCGUGUACAAGUCUCCUGGAAGGGAGCGUCAUAGAGGGUGAGAAUCCCGUCUUUGACACGGACUACCAGUGCUAUGUGAUGCGCUCUCGACGAGUCGAGUUGUUUGGGAAUGCAGCUCAAAAUGGGUGGUAAAUGCCAUCUAAAGCUAAAUACAGGCGAGAGACCGAUAGCGAACAAGUACCGUGAGGGAAAGAUGAAAAGAACUUUGGAAAGAGAGUUAAACAGUAUGUGAAAUUGCUGAAAGGGAAACGCUUGAUGUCAGUCACGUUGGCUAGGGAUCAACCUUGCUUCUCGCUGGGUGUAUUUCCUAGUGGACGGGUCAGCAUCAGUUUCGGUCGCUGUACAAGGGCAAAGGGAACGUGGCACUCCUUGGAGUGUGUUAUAGCCUUUCGUCGUAUGCAGUGGUUGGGACUGAGGAACUCGGCACGAAAUCUAUUUUGUGCUUAGGAUGCUGGCAUAAUGGCCUUAAGCGACCCGUCUUGAAACACGG
rnacentral:rRNA from 1 species